rnacentral:rRNA from 1 species
AUCGUCAUUGCUGCGGUUAAAAAGCUCGUAGUUGGAUCUUAGUUACGUACUUUGAUUCGCCUUUGGCGUUAAUCAUUGUCGUGACUAUUUUGUUGGUUUUCUGUUGGUGGCUUCGGCUCCUUCAGUGGCUAGCGAGUUUACUUUGAAUAAAUUAGAGUGCUCAAAACAAGCGUUUGCUUGAAUGCUCGAUCAUGGAAUAAUAAAAGAGGACUUCGGUUCUAUUUGUUGGUUCAGGAACUGAAUUAAUGGUUAAGAGGGACAACUCGGGGGCAUUCGUAUCCCUGCGCGAGAGGUGAAAUUCGUGGACCGCAGGGGGACGCCCUAAAGCGAAAGCAUUUGCCAAGAAUGUCUUCAUUAAUCAAGAACGAAAGUCAGAGGUUCGAAGGCGAUUAGAUACCGCCCUAGUUCUGACCGUAAACUAUGCCAUCUAGCGAUCCAAUGGGGUAUUGUAGCCUUGUUGGGGAGCUUCCCGGAAACGAAAGUCUUUCGGUUCCUGGGGUAGUAUGGUUGCAAAGCUGAAACUUAAAGAAAUUGACGGAAGGGCACCUACCAGGAGUGGAGCCUGCGGCUUAAUUUGACUCAACACGGGAAAACUCACCCGGCCCGGACACCGUUAGGAUUGACAGAUUGAAAGCUCUUUCUCGAUUUGGUGGUUGGUGGUGCAUGGCCGUUCUUAGUUGGUGGAGCGAUUUGUCUGGUUUAUUCCGAUAACGAGCGAGACUCUAGCCUGCUAAAUAGUGUCCAGAUAUAUAAGUCUGGCUUACUUCUUAGAGGGAUAAGCGGUGUUUAGCCGCACGAGAUUGAGCGAUAACAGGUCUGUGAUGCCCUUAGAUGUUCGGGGCUGCACGCGCGCUACACUGGAAGAAUCAGCUGGUCCUUCCAUUGCCGAAAGGUAUUGGUAAACCGUUGAAACUCUUCCGUGACCGGGAUAGGGAAUUGUAAUUAUUUCCCUUGAACGAGGAAUUCCUAGUAAGUGUGAGUCAUCAGCUCACGUUGAUUACGUCCCUGCCCUUUGUACACACCGCCCGUCGCUGUCCGGGACUGAGCUGUUUCGAGAAGAGUGGAGACUGCUGUAUUGGGGCUUUCGGGCUCUGGUAUGAUGGAAACCAUUU